rnacentral:rRNA from 1 species
UUAAUUUGAGAGUUUGAUCCUGGCUCAGGACGAACGCUGGCGGCGUGCCUAAUACAUGCAAGUCGAACGAACUCUGGUAUUGAUUGGUGCUUGCAUCAUGAUUUACAUUUGAGUGAGUGGCGAACUGGUGAGUAACACGUGGGAAACCUGCCCAGAAGCGGGGGAUAACACCUGGAAACAGAUGCUAAUACCGCAUAACAACUUGGACCGCAUGGUCCGAG